GCUUAACCUGGGAACUGCGCUUGUGACUGGAAGGCUAGAGUACGGCAGAGGGGGGUGGAAUUCCACGUGUAGCAGUGAAAUGCGUAGAGAUGUGGAGGAACACCGAUGGCGAAGGCAGCCCCCUGGGCCGAUACUGACGCUCAUGCACGAAAGCGUGGGGAGCAAACAGGAUUAGAUACCCUGGUAGUCCACGCCCUAAACGAUGUCAACUAGGUGUUGGGUGGGUAAAACCAUUUAGUACCGGAGCUAACGCGUGAAGUUGACCGCCUGGGGAGUACGGCCGCAAGGUUAAAACUCAAAGGAAUUGACG
rnacentral:rRNA from 1 species